CCUGUCGGAGAAUGAAGACACAACCCCGCCUCUCCCCACCCCACCCCCACCCCCGCUACCCCUCCUCAAUUAGACUCCCUUGCCUGUUUCCUUGAACGGAAAUUUGGACCCAACCAACGCUCUUCCAGCGAACUGGGUUCUAGGAGCAGUAUUUACCCGAUGUUUCUUUGAUCCUUUCUAGCACAGGAGCCCUAGCAACGUUUCAGAACCGAAGGGGUCACACGGUGUUCCUGUGUCUGAAGUCCUUCCUGCUGCUAUACCUCCAAGCUACAACUAAGGAGUUAACAUAAUUUCACGGGCUCUCUAGCUUCCCAGUUGCCCAUACCAGAGGAGGCUGACAUAUAAACCUGUGAUCAUGCCUGAAGGACCACACGCAACAGUACAUGAGAGGAUGGAAGGUGGAGAAUGUCUUAUCAAGCAGCAAGAAUUUGGCCAGGAUUAGAAGACAG
rnacentral:lncRNA from 1 species